rnacentral:lncRNA from 1 species
GAAUGUCUUUUUACUUUUCCUGUCAGUAAAACACCUGCUUCUAAGCCUUCCAUUAAGGACAAAAAUAAAAAAAAUAAAAGAUUCAACCAUAUUCUAUUACAGUAAAACUGUAGGGUGUAGGGAGAUUGAUUUAGGCAAUAUGUGUUUACCCAAAUUGGAAUAUGCUUUGAAGUCUGAUGGUGAGUGACAUAUACUUCAAAGAGCUCUAAGAAUUUAUGGAAUAGAUUGGAAGCCUGAGAGUACCACAUGAACCCAGCAGCAUGGACAUAAUUCCAGAAAUCUGGAUGCUCAUGUCUGACACAAGUGAACAUAUGAAACACAACUAACACUGAUCCCUUUUUAUAGGAGAUGGGCCUGUGAUGUUUGGAACUAGUUACAUUUUGCAGUGUCAAGUAGUAGAGAGCAUGGGAAGAAGUGCGUCACUGGUCAGUUCAAGACUGACUGAUAAAUAGGAUGGAUCUUGCUAACUCCUUUGUAAUCUAUUUGCUACUUAGAGAAAUACCUUCUGCAGUGAAAUAUAUCUUCCUCAGAACAAUGUGGAAUCUAAUUACAUAAGAAAUAAAAUCAAAUCAAGAUACAGUAGAAGCUAUGUCCAGAUCAACAGAUAAAUGAAGAAAAAUUUGAUGAUGCAGAGAGAGGAAGAAAUGUAUCACAGCAUGAAGGAGGAAGAAGAGCAGUCAUCUCUGGUACCUUGGGUGAGAGCACAGGAAGAAAGCCAUGGUCUCGCCCUUUGCUUGAGAAUGUCUGAGCAAUGAUGAACUCCGUGACCUUGGGAUGUUACCUUACUCAGGUAUGUCACUCCUGUUUGCAAGCUCCUUUUGACAGAAGUGAGUCUACUGGGAACCUGUUCUUCCAGAUGCUCAGGAAGAGUCUUCUUAGUCUCUGGAAUUUAUGAAGUCAACACAAAGCAUAGCAUUUGUACUAUUUGCUGUUAAACCUGCUAAACAACUCUGAUACAACCAUCAGCAACAGUAUAGUAAGUGGUUCAGAGAAAGCAAUCUGAGGCCAUCCCCUCUUCACAGAGAGAAGCUGGAAUUCAUUGUAUUUUGUUCAGCAGAGAAAUCUGACUGUGUUGUCAGGGACUCUUUCAACACAGCUUAAUGACCUAUUUGGCACUUUUCAAAGAAAAGAAAAUUCUGCUGACACUUUUUCUAUCUAGUAAAAGCCAAGAAAAACAAGAUCUGCAGAGGUGGAAGUCCUUCAGAAAACACACCUGGCAACAGAGGCAACCAGGAAGAUAUCGUUGGAGCAUUCUGUUUGGAAGAGUAUCCAGGGACAGGAGUUUUCAGUGAAGGACUAUCAGCAACCACAGUAAUUGCCAGCUGAAAAUAAUCCAGCCAUUUCCAAGUAUAUCUUCUCAUUACCAUUCGAACAUGCCUCUCAAAUCUCCUCCAAAAGGGUCCUCAAUGUAGUUGUUUUGCCAAGCAUUUGCUUCUGUUGGAUCAAACUCCUUGCUAAUGUAGACUUAGUCAAAGACAACAAGACAUGUUUCACGCUGGCUCUGAAGUCUCUGAGCAGUAUUUGUUAGACCAUCACAAUACUGGCAUGCAGGCUUUUAGGGGAGGUUCCGGGGGUGAACUUUUGGUGUUGUGAACACAGUGACCUCCUAGAAAGUAUUUUGCACACCUAAGUGAGACAAGGAAUGGUAGAACCCUAAGACAGAAUGAUAUUUGCAAAGAAGGAGGCAGUGCAGCUGCUGGAAAAUGGAAGUUGAAAAGUAGCAUCGAAGGAAAUCUUUGUAAGCUAGUACAGUUUUCAAGUGUCCACGUAUCACCUCAAGUAAUCUCAUUCUCUUCAUAAAACAGGCAUUCCUGGACAGUUAAGAAACAUGUUUAAGCUUUAAGGACAAGAACAGAAACAUCAGAAACUAUUAAUUAGGUUAGGCAACUUUGGGAAAUCUGUAUAAUAAAAAUAACCAUAUUCAAUCAUGGAAGAAAUAAAGGUCUCUCAAUAGGAUCCCUGUGUUGGUAUAGUGUCAGCUACGAAAUAACAAUGUGACUCCUGGGAUUCAAUGGACAUACGCACUGUAAAGUGUCGUAGAAACUAAGCAGAUGCAGAACUGACUGAUCUUGAUAUAAUAAGGAUUAAUUAAAGUAAGGAAAAGAUUGGCUAUAGGGCUUCUGGGAAGAUAUGUUUAAAAUAUCCUAUCUUCUAAAAUGUAAUAGCUCAAAGUUGUCAUAACUGAAGGUGAGAAGACAACAUCAGAAGAUUGGAGUGAAAAACAAAGUAGCUUAUUUUUUUCAGUGGGUGCUGAAAAAAAGCUUAAAAUUUUGAAGGACAAUAAUAGUCUCAGAGCCAUACCUUACAUACCAGUAGAAAAGGCUUACUGUGCCUAAAAAGAGUUUACUGAAAUAUCAUUAAGUGACAUCAAAAAUUGUAAGAAUCUAAAUGCUUUAAUUUUUCCUCACACGUGUAUGGAUUUUAAUUCCUGCUGGGUCUUUCACAGUAUUAUUACAUUGCUGCCUGCAGGAGUAUAGCAAGUCAGUCAUUAGAUAUCAGAUACUAAAUAAAGGCUUUGUUAUGUAGGGCACAAAAUACAUGAUUGGCUUCCAAUCGUUUUCAAGCUCAAUUUUUCCAUAAUUCCUCUGUUUGUACUGAGGAAUCAGAAGCCACCUUUCAAGCCACUUGAGGUGAAAUGCGGGCCUUGCAUGGCAUGACUCUUCCAUGUUAAGUCAAAAUGCUUCAUUGAUGUUCUUUUCCAAAUUCUAUUCCUUGCUUCUCACAGUACUUUCUAAGAGUAAAAUCUCAAUCACCUCUGUCCUAGCAUUUUCUCUGGAAUCUAUCAAAUAUAGAAAUUACUGUCAAUGUUAGUAUUUUCUGUUUUUCUUUCAAAUUCACACAUUGCUUCAAAUAUGUAUUUUUAAGAUACACGGUAACUUCUAUUUUGACAAAAUACGCAUCCCCUCGCCAAAGUCUUACCCAAUAACACUUUCCUUCAGCAACACUUCUCUUCCUUGCUAUUGAAUAAUAAUUAACAGAAACACUAGAAGUCCAAGGUCAAAGUCAUCACCACAUUAUGACAGUUCAAGUUCUGUACAUCACCUUGAGAUGCCAUUUUUUGUAAAAAUACAGUGUGGAUUGAAAUUGUUGAUAUUCUCAUGGCCAUAUUGCUGUAAUAAUUCACAGGUUAUUUUUUAUCAGUUUUCCACCUUUCAGUUUCACUUAGUUUUAGUUCAAAAAGCCUUUGCUGUCUAUCUCAGAUGUUAUAUUUGCACUUUUACCAAUAAUCAUCACUUAUCAACUUUCAUGUUUCAGAUUACCAGAAUUUUCACUCCUACAGUUUCAGUUCUUCAGGCCAUAUCAGUAGUCCUUCAUCAAUAGCAUUAGAGAGCUAUGUAUGAGAUCAGUUUUAUUUUGUUCUACCAGUCAUCUUUUUCACUUUAUCUUUCUAUUUACCAGGUUACAGCUGCCUGAGUCUAAUAAAUAUUCAUUUGAUUAUUUUCAAGUCAGUCACAUUUUGACCUGUUUAGGUCAAGAGACUUAAAGAGCACUCAUGAUUUUCAGACUGUGUGUUUGUGUGGACUUGUUUCCAAUGUUCUUUUAUCAUCACAAUUAUAUUCCUUUCAUAUUGACCCUUAUUCUAUUAAAUAGCCCUCCACCUUCCCUUAAGAGUUCUUUGUAUACUUAAUGACUGGAUUUUUUUUCUGUUUUCUGAUCCACAUAUGGAAGACAAAAAUUAAUUCCUUUGUUAGGGCACCAUUACAAUGAUCCUGUAAUAUCUUGGGAUAACUGUUCUGUUAUUGUUGGUAAAAACCUGACUUGGAUUUUGUUAGCACAAUGAUGACAGUUGAAAAAAACCAAAACAUUGUAAGUGACUGAUCACUCAUUAGACUUACUUGGCUGCACUUAUUUUUCUUAAUCAUUGAAAAUUCAGUUGUCAAAUAUGUAUAAAUAACUUUUUUCCCCUACCAUAAUUUCUGUCGAUUCAGAAGGGAUCAGAAAAGGUUUCCUUGCUACAUGACAGAUAACUCCAUUCUCUAAUAGUCUGUUCUCUGCAGCUGUUCUUUCACUGCUGUACUGUUCUUUUUCUUCCACUAUUAUUGCAUUACAUUUUUUCUCUGACUAAUAAUCCUGUGGGAUAGAUCCUGCUCACACUCCUCUUCCAUACAGCCUACAAAUUAAAGAUGCAAGAAGCAAUUUCUACAAACGUGGAAUGUUAGAUAUUGUGGUAACAGGGAAUUUAAAAGUAACUGAGGUUUUUUUUGUUCACAUCAAUCCACUUAAUUAAACUAAAAAGAUGAAAAGAGUAAAGAAAAGCAAGAGACAGCAGUGGGUAAAGAUACGAAGUAUAUCAGAACAAAACAAAGGAAAGCCAUACUCAGAAGUGGCAAUGCUUUUCUCAAAAACACUGACUACAUUAAGUGCUUCUCUCUGCUCUGGUAGUGGUGGCCAAUUUAAUCCUGUGUAGCUGGAGAUAUUCAGGAAGUCUCCUACCGAUAUUAAUGACUAUUAACAAAAAUACUUGCUCAGACAGGCUUUAAAAGAUUAAAUAUAAAAUUUGAACUUAGCCUUUCAGCAGAUGAUGUCGCAUCUCUGCAUAAAUACUUGAUUUGAUGGCCCAUAGGUGUUUGCUUACAACUGUAUAUUCUAAGCAGGUAAAAACAUUUGUACGUGCUUGGCUUAAAAUGUUUCAUGUUUAAUAAUCUAGUUUAGGCCACACAACAAAUCAGUGACAGUAAGCAGCUGGCAUUCAACAGCGUUAUUGGUUUCAAAACUCCCACUGACUUAGUAGAUGUGAUAUGGCCAGUCUUCCCAAUAAUCCAGACAAUACUGCUGUGGAUCAAGGAACAUUUUAUGCCACUAAUUCCAAUUAGUGAAUAGGGAAUAGAAAAUCCAUAUCCUAUGACUUGUUACUGAGUACAGAACUGCAGCAGUGUUCUCAUCAGAAAGAAUAUAAGGAAAACAAACAACAGGUCUUCCUUUAUGCAGAUUUUGAUCAGGAAUUUGUGGUAAGAAUUUGCUUGUACCAAAUCAUGUGCUGCACAUGUAAGGACUCGAUGGUUUAAAAUGCCUCUGUCUUUAAUGUUUUGUUUCUGCAUUUGCAAUGUGAGAUUUUACUUUGAAUAAAGUAAUAAAUUUUAGAUUGAUUCAAAGUUUCAAAUUGUUCUUCAUACUUAGAUUACAGUUUAAUCAAAGUGACUAUUUCAAUAUUGCCAUGUUGUACAAAUGAAACAACUGAAAUUAUAUUUUUGUUUUGAUGUGCAUUGUUAAUAGAUAAGAAAGAAAAAGAAGGAUUUUUUCUACAGCCUAGUUUGCCCUGGAGUCCCAAAUGUAAUUUUGGGUUAGUCUAUUGGUUACCUGAAGGUCUCUAUACCUGUCUACACAUGCAUUUUUUAUUAGUUUAGCUGCCAUUAUAAUAAGGUUUCCUGCACAAAUCUCCCAACUCUGAUGGUAUCAAUUUAUUUCUAGAGUAUUCUAUUCUAAUGAGCACCUUAACACAAGGCAAAUGUCCUUGCUUCCCAAUAGGAAGGGAACUGGAUGUUUUCAGUAUAAUAGAGUUGGAAAGGGAAAGUAGACUGAUGUUAGUGCACCUGCACAGAAAAGAUAAAAAAUUGUGUGAAUAACUUGGAUGCGUGUGCUAAUUCUUGAUGUAUAAAUGUUAAUUAAAGAUUUGCUGGAAAUGAAAAAUUUGACUCUGCAACAUUUUUUACUCUCCAAAUAUGCAGCAUUCAUUUCCUGAAUUAUCUUUCUGGCUGGCAGGCAAGAUACAGAUUGCUUGUCUGCUACUAACAGCAGGCAUCUGAAAAUAUCCCAACAGCCUACUGAUUUAUGACUUCAGAGUGAGUCACAGAGGUUACUGGGCAUCUCUCAGACCUUGACAGCGAAAGGGAGAGGUGCACGACUUCCACUUCGAGAACUUUCUCCACCCUUUAUUAUGUGAGAAAAUGAAGUCCUGGCUCAGGGACUGCCUCAGAUCUGUAACUGAAAUUCUAAGCUCUUUCACAGAAACCAACAGGUUUCUAAAACAGCAGUGGCUCUCUAGAAGGUUGUCUGAGGAAAUGUCUUACUGGCAAAGAAGGAUGGAUAGUUUAUCCGGACCCAACACAGACACUGUGAAGGCUGACAGUGACAGCAAGAGGCUCAGGAACUCCUACCUUCAGAUGACAUGGAAAGGCACAAAUAGAUCACCAUCCAACUGAUACAGAGAUAAUGUAAAUGAAGAUGUUCUCUCCAUCAUGUACUAAAAUAAUAUAGCUUUCUGAGAGGAGCAAGGACUGAAAAAUUGCAAAACAGCACAGCAAAACAGCUCUUUUUAG